rnacentral:rRNA from 1 species
UACUACCGAAGCUACGGCAUCAGUAAUGAUGGGUAGGGGAGCUUCCCAUACGGGUUGAAGCAUGACCGUAAGGACAUGUGGACAGUAUGGGAGUGAGAAUGUUGGCAUGAGUAGCGAGAUGUGGGUGAGAAUCCCACAGGCCGUAAACCCAAGGUUGCCAGGGGAAGGUUCGUCCGCCCUGGGUUAGUCGGGACCUAAGCUGAGGCCGAAAGGCGUAGGUGAUGGACAACAGGUUGAUAUUCCUGUACUACCGAUAACCAUUUGAGAGAAGGGAUGACACAGUAGGAUAAGCUAAGCACACUGUUGGUUAUGUGUGCCCAAGCAUUGAGGCAG